AUGUAUUUCAUACACCGAUGCAUCGUACAAUUUAAUUCGAACUUGUAAGCAAGAAACUGCGACAAUAUUCGAGUGUCACACCUUUAAUUUUCCCUUGAAUGUUGGAUGAGCCAAGCCCAACCGCCUGAACCCAACCAACCGAAAGCGCAACUAAUUUUUCCUCAUAUAUUUGAUCUUCAUAUUUCACAUUCCUCCCUCCCAGGAACUGCAACAACUCCAUCAAUGGCAUCCCAUCACACCCUCAUCCCAUCUAACCCAGAAACCAUUUCCCACCACCGUUGAUUCUCAACCAAUCUCCCACGCAAAAGAUCAACAGAAAAUUUCAAAACAUGUACAGUUCAAAACCUUUCAAACCCAUAGUCAACCAAGUCCUCGCCGCCAUGCUAAAAAACCAGCCCUUCGAUUCCAAUCUCGCCGCCUCCGCCGCCGCCUCUCAGCCGUGGACUGCGGACUCGGUUUCCCAAGUCCUAAUCUCCAUACCCAGAUUCUUCUUCCAGUCCCCCCGCUCCGUCGGCCGCCAAACCGGGUUCCGCCACCGCGCUCCAUUGAAGCAACGCAACCUCAGGCAAGAAUCUUACAAAUUCCACAACAACGUGCUCGUUCUCGGCCCGGCAGCCCACAGAGAUCUCGACAAAGUUCAGCUCGGGUCGGACAAAGCACUCGAAUUCUACUACUGGGUCGAAACCCGUUGCAGGUUUGCCCACAACGAACGGACUUGCAGGGAGAUGGCGAUUGUUUUGGCCAGAGGGAAUAGGUUGAAAGCCCUUUGGGAUUUUCUCAAAGAUAUGUCGAAGAGGGUGAGCGGCGGGCUUGUUACCACAGAGAGCGUUACCUGUUUGAUAAAAGUCCUAGGAGAGGAAGGCUUGGUUAAUGAUGCAUUGGCUGCUUUUUAUAGAAUGAAGCAGUUUCAUUGCAAGCCGGAUGUGUAUGCUUAUAACACCAUUAUUUAUGCUCUUUGCAGAGUUGGGAAUUUCAAUAAGGCCCGGUUUUUGUUGGACCAGAUGGAGUUGCCGGGGUUUAGAUGCCCGCCGGAUGUGUUCACUUAUACGAUUUUGAUUAGUUCUUAUUGUAGGUAUGGUUUAGAGACGGGCUGUAGGAAGGCCAUCCGGAGGCGGUUGUGGGAAGCCAACCACAUGUUUCGGAAUAUGCUUUUCAGAGGUUUUGUUCCUGAUGUUGUCACUUACAAUUCUUUGAUCAAUGGUUGUUGCAAAACUUACCGGAUUGAGAGGUCGUUGGAGUUGUUUGAAGAUAUGAACAAAAGGGGUUGUACCCCCAAUCGGGUGACUUAUGAUUCGUUUAUUAGGUACUAUGCUGCAGUUAAUGAGAUUGAUAAGGCUGUUGAAAUGCUAUGGAAGAUGCAAAAUUUGAAACACGGAAUGCCUACUUCAAGUUCGUAUACUCCAAUCAUUCAUGCCUUGUGUGAAGCUGGAAGGAUCAUAGAGGCCCGAGAUUUUCUGGUUGAGAUGAUUGAUGGAGGCUCGAUACCUAGAGAGUAUACGUAUAAAUUAGUUUGUUAUGCACUAAAUUCAGCUGGAGAAGUCAAUUUGCUUGAUGAUGAUGUGCGUAAAACAAUAAAAGACGGUAUAGUGAGCAGGUAUAGGCAGACAAUGAAGGUGAAGCCAAUGAUGAGUCGCAAAGGAUAUGAUAGCAUGGUGGAAACUUGAUUUAACGAAGAAACUAGUUAUGUUAGAGCCCUACUUAUUGAUGAUUCUUUUUAUCAUGCUACAAAUCUGUGUAGCUGCUGUGCUGUUUAAGAUGUGUUAAAUGUUUGAAGCAAUUUUCAGCCACUGUGAGUUGGAAUCGCCGAGGCCUUAGGAAUUGCAACAUCUAUUUUCCGAAAGGACUUGGCAAGUAGAUAAACUCUUUAACUUUGGCUGUGUCAAGGAACAUCUGCUAAAUUUUAAAUUCAAGGAAUGAUGGCCCUUCAAGUUGCUGAUGAGCUGCAAGCUUAGGUUACUGGCCUAGACUAUAUGCUGGAGCUCCAGGAACAUGAUGAUUGUGCUAAAUUUUACUUUCAAAGAAUGAUGGCCCUUCAAGUUGCUCAGGAGCUGCAGGCUCAGGUUACUAGACUAGACGACAUGCUGGAGCUCGUUAAUCAGGAAGAUUUUUGGCGUGAUUUGUCUUCUGCUGUUAUAAUGGGGGAAGACUUGAACAUUGUGCGACGAAGAAGAAAGUUAAGGUUGAAAUUCGCCAACUUAUGUCAUGAAGUCUUUUCUGAGUUCUCACAUUGUGGUAAAUGGUCAGGUAUUUGGAGAGUACAUAUUGCUUGGUUAGAGGGGAUGGCGCUCCUCUUACGCACAUGAAUUUGAAUCCACAUGGCCGCAGUUUAGAUUAAAUUCUUCGUUUCCUCCACACAACAGAACAAGGAAGAAGAAGGAAUAAAAGGACAAAACUUCUGGGCACUGCACGCUCUGCUUUUUCUGGUUGGAUCUAGUGGUUUUCUACUGACACUUAAGUUUUGUAUGCCGUGCAAGCUUCACACAAGGCAAUGCAAGGGGCUGCAUGGUUCACACCUAAACCCGUCAAAUUUGAUAGUUCUUCAGCGUCUCUGACUUCCCCUAUAAAGAUUGACAGCAUAUGAAGUGGUAGCUUUUUAGCUCUGAGUUCGAUCUCUUCAUUCAUCCUUCCCAGUAGUUUAUUUCCUGUUGCAAAACUUGAGAGUCCUGUCAUUGUCACUCUCACACUGGUGGCAUCGGCAAGGCAAAGACAUGCUACUGCUUUACUUUCCGCCUCUAUUUCGGUACUGGAACUCCGUCCUCCUGAACACACAAAUGCCAAAAUCUCUCUGUCAACUUGUCCAAUCAGUUUUUUAUUUUGAAAAAGGAAAAAGAAUACAUGAUUGAAAGUGGAUUUGUCUCCAUAGGUCGAAUAUAAACUACGAAUAAAAUUUC